rnacentral:misc_RNA from 1 species
GAUGAAGAACGCAGCGAAAUGCGAUACGUAAUGUGAAUUGCAGAAUUCAGUGAAUCAUCGAGUCUUUGAACGCAUAUUGCGCUCUCUGGUAUUCCGGAGAGCAUGCUUGUUUGAGUAUCAGUAAACACCUCAACUUCCAUAUCUUUUUUGAAAUGGGAGUUGGACUUGAGUGAUCCCAACGCUUUUCCUCACCGAAAAGUGGCGGGUUACUUGAAAUGCAGGUGCAGCUGGACUUUUCUCUGAGCUAUAAGCAUAUCUAUUUAGUCUGCCUAAAAAACAGAUUAUUACCUUUGCUGCAGCUAACAUAAAGGAGAUUAGUUCUUGUGCUGACUGAUGCAGGAUUCACAAAGACGGCUUCGGCCGACUUUGUAAACUCGAUCUCAAAUCAAGUAAGACUACCCGCUGAACUUAAGCAUAUCAAUAAGCGGAGGA